rnacentral:lncRNA from 1 species
GACGCUGCACCUCUGAGUGGAUGUACAGGACCUGUCAGCAGACUGUUCUCCUCCCCACCCACUAAGCUUUUAAAACGACUGAAGUGCCACCCGCCCUAAUUACCCAAUUCAGUGGCUCACACAAUGGAUCUGCCACUUCCUUGGCUUUCUGACAUCCCGAACCCCCCGAGAUCUCUCUCGGCUCUGACAGAAGGCAUCUGGGGUGAUGGGGCGGGGUGGGGAGGAGUGCUCGGAGGCCGCCCCGAGUCAGCCGGGCCCGCUCUGGACGCGCACCCUGGACCGACUGUGUGGAAAGGCUCCCGCUCAUUCACCAGCAGCUCUCUGCUGAGCCCCUGCUCCCGUGCGCGGGGAGGGCGUUCACAGGUAGGACACAGCCCCUGUGGCAGAAGCUGGGCUUCAUACCCAGCCCUCCUGGCCUUGGCUGCGCGCACUGCUGGCUCAGGCCUGGACCCAGGAGGACACAAGUGUCCAUCGGGUGUGCCCCAGCGACUGCCCCUCUGGCCACGAGGGCCCUGGCCGUCUCCAUCCCAGGCUGCCUGUCAGGGUCUGCACUCAGAUGGCAGGGAGCCGCCGCACGCCGGGCAAAUCGAGAAUGACCCUGCCCUCGGCUCUGUGCUAGCCCCGCGAGCUGGAGCCGGAAGGGGCACCUCACUGCGUCAGAAGGUCGCCGACAGACACAAACUGACCCCGUCUCUCUAGAAAGCGACUGAUGGCAGGAACCAAAAAGCCCUGCAACCGUCCUGCGUCUUUGACCCGAUUAUCCUACUUGUUUUUUUAAUUAUUUUAAAUGUUUUUUUAAUUCUUCUACUUCCAGUCACAAGACAGAUCUGAAACACAGGCACAAAUUUAUACUGAAAGGGGUGUUUAAUGUAGCACUCAAAAACAGUGAGAAUUUGGAAUCACAAAUGCCCAAUGUUA